rnacentral:tmRNA from 3 species
AUAUUGCCUUUGCCGCCCUCGUGGCGGCUAUGGCGAUAAACGGCGUCGAAAUAAGCUUUUCGGACCCGGGGGCGGUACCCGGCGCCUCCACCCGAGCGCAUUGGUCGCAGCUCUGCUCGAGCCUGCGAGCGGCGCGUUCCGGCGGGGGCGAAAUAGGUUCGACGGGAAGUGUAAAGGACGAUCUUUUGCCCGGCAUUGUACCGCCGUUAUCGGGCUAAACUUAUAGUUGCCAACGACAACUAUGCUCCGGUGGCCCUCGCCGCGUAAUGCGGUGACGGUACCGAUUCAAAGUCCUUUGGGGUAGCACUCAAAGGCGGGGUUCGGAGGCACCUGGCAACAGAAGCCUCCACUUUCAUGC